UACGUAGGGUGCGAGCGUUGUCCGGAAUUAUUGGGCGUAAAGCGCGCGCAGGCGGUCCUUUAAGUCUGAUGUGAAAGCCCACGGCUCAACCGUGGAGGGUCAUUGGAAACUGGAGGACUUGAGUACAGAAGAGGAAAGCGGAAUUCCACGUGUAGCGGUGAAAUGCGUAGAGAUGUGGAGGAACACCAGUGGCGAAGGCGGCUUUCUGGUCUGUAACUGACGCUGAGGCGCGAAAGCGUGGGGAGCAAACAGG
rnacentral:rRNA from 1 species